rnacentral:misc_RNA from 1 species
GGAAGAUGAAGAUGUUGUAGAGGAUACCAAAAGGAAGAGGGUCUUGACUCGCUCUGGACGGAAGGUAUCCACUGCAGAGGGGUCAAGGCAACCUUCCUGUCAAGUUGAGGAAUGCACUGCAGAUAUGGUGAAUGCUAAGACAUACCAUCGCCGCCACAAGGUCUGUGAAUUUCAUGCAAAGGCUCCAGAAGUACUUAUUGAUGGACUCCGACAGCGUUUCUGUCAGCAAUGCAGCAGAUUUCAUCAGUUGGCGGAGUUUGAUGAUGCAAAAAAGAGUUGCAGGAGACGGUUGGCAGGGCACAACGAGCGCCGCCGUAAAAGUGCACAAGAUUAUCCAGGAGAAGGGUCAAGUUGAACGGGCACCUACUAGUGGACUGAUGAGAACUUAAGCUCCCUCUGAAAAAUAUAGAGUUUAUCACGCUCUCUCUCUUCUGUCAUUUGCCAUAUUUCCUUUUUAACAAAAAAUGUUAUCUUCAGGUAUGCAUAAAGUAGUAAUUUCAUUUCAUCUGAAAUGAAAAUAGUACGAAAGAAUGUUUCAUUAACUUUUGUCUGUUGGUACUUCGAUAGUUUGUAGACCGAAAAUAAAGCUAUCCUGUGUUUCACAUGUAUGUUGCUUGAAGACUACCCUGUUGGACA